rnacentral:lncRNA from 1 species
CUCACUCCCCAGGCCCACACACUAGCCCACUGUUCAGGGUCCGGGGUGGCAGCAUGGCCUGGGGGUCCUGGCACCGCUGCUCCUCUGCCCACCCUAACUUCCCGGCAUGGCGGCUGCCCCCUCUGAGCGUCCCCAACCAAACUGCAGGGGAUAUGAAGCAAGCUGGACUUGGGGAGACAUCUCUGCUCGAGUGCACGUUGGCCUGAUGACGACUGCUCUUGGGUUCACGGGUUCCAGGCUCUGCCCGGGAGCCUCAUGCAAACUGGUCCCGUUCUACAGACGAGGAAACUGAGGCACAGAGUGAUUACGGCUGUCCCUGAGCUCCUGCAGCCAGUAAGUGUCUCUGAGGAUGAACUGCCAUGUGCCCGGCGGGGAUGCCGUCCCUGGCCCUUGCUGAGUGCCUCUGGGACGAGGUCAGCUGAGCCUGCCAUCCUAACUCAGACACCAUCUCACUCUCCAAGUCCCUUCUCGGCCCAGCAAAUUCUCACCUCCAGAGGCCAGGUCUGCCCCGCAGGUCUUAGGAAAUACAGCCCUACUUCCAUCCAGCACACCAACCCAAGGAAGUGCCUCGGAGCCCUGGGGCCCGAGGGGGGCCUGGCCUUGGUCUCACGGCGGCAGCUCCACCUGGAGAGGAGUGAACUCAAGCCAGGACGCCCCGUCUCCACAGCGGAAACCGUGUUGCCGGCUGCUCCCUCCUGGGGACUCUGGGCCUGAGGUUCCUGUGGGAGUUGGGGGGAUAGCUGAGUCCUAUGGAGGUGCCCCUCUCCUCCCCGCCCAGUGGAGCUUGGGGUGGGGACAGGCGAAGACAGGGUGAGAAGCACGGGGCAUUCCCCCUCCACACAGCGCUGAGAAAGUAAGGGAGCAUCCAGAAAACGGUGCCCACUUCCGCGUCAGGCGGAUAUCACGGGCACCAGCUCCAGGUGACCCUAGCCCAGCCAGAGAACAAGGACCAGGUUGUGCCGCAAAGCCCGUGUCCGCUCCCUCCCGCCUGGGACCACUGUGGCGAGGGGAAGGGAGCGUGGUGGCCCUCUCCUGACUCCUGAGGCCUGAAGUCCAAGCUCCCGGCCCUCAGGCAGGCCAGGGUCUAGACACCGCUGCCCCAAACACACCCCCCAGUCCCCGCCCGCAGGCUUCCUGCAGGAUCCCCCAGUGCACCUGGGGGCUGAGGAGAGUGAGCAGGGCGCAAAGAAGCUUCGUCGGGAGGGCGGUCCCCACCCGCCUUGGACCCCCGGGGAUAGUGUCCUGGGGCCUGGGCUCAGAUGCACCCUGGGAGGAAUGGUGCGGAGGCUGUUUUUUGCUCCAAGAGGACAUUGCCUCAGCAGAGGGCUGCCGAGCUGGGAGGACCCACAGUGCAAGGCCGCAGAACCCCCUAGGAAGCCUCAGAGCCUUCAGGUUCCGGGCUGAGGCUGUGGGCGUGGACCCUUGUGCAAACCCCACUGGAAGAAAAACCUUACAGCUCAGGAGGAGGAGGGGCCCCACCCGCUCCCAGAGCCCGUAAACGAGGGGUGGUGCCCACAUGAGGCCUGGGGAAGGGCUGGGGCUGGGACACCCCCUCACCACCCCCAGAUACCCCAGGCAGCCCCUCCCUCCACAGAGAGACCCACUGGGCCUGACCCUGCCCUGGGCACAGGGUCGAGCCAGGGACGGCCCGUGGGAGAAAGACGGCUUCAUGGGCCGCUGGCCGGGCCAGGUGCGUCCUUCCCCAGUUCUAGGUGGCAAAUGGGGUGGGGCCAGAGCCUUCUGGCUAGGGAAGACACUGGCCUGGUUGGUGUGGCAGGGGCAGCGAAGGAGGGUCAAAGGCCACUCUGGCCUGGAAGAGUCCCCAGCCACCUGGACGGGGGUAGCCAGGCCUGGUCCCUGCCCCCACUCUCCAAGGGGUCGGGGCAGCCGGGCAGAGCCAGUAAGUGUUUGUUUUCAGAU